GGACGGUUACCACGGUGUGAUUCAUGACUGGGGUGAAGUCGUAACAAGGUAGCCGUAGGGGAACCUGCGGCUGGAUCACCUCCUUAAU
rnacentral:rRNA from 3 species